CCCUUAGAUGUCCUGGGCAGCACGCGUGCUACAAUGAUGCAUUCAACGAGUCUUGCCUUAACCGAAAGGUUCGGGUAAACUUUUGAAAUUGCAUCUUGUCGGGGCUUGAUCAUUGUAAUUUUUGAUCACAAACAAGGAAUUCCUUGUAAAUGUGAGUCAUCAACUUGCAUUGAAUACGUCCCUGCCCUUUGUACACACCGCCCGUCGCUCCUACCGAUGAGUCGUCCGGUGAAGUUCGUAGACCUCGUGAUCGCGGAUCACUGGGGGAAGCAAAAUGAACCUCGCGGUUUAGAGGAAGGAGAAGUCGUAACA
rnacentral:rRNA from 1 species